rnacentral:rRNA from 1 species
GAUGAACGCUAGCGGGAGGCUUAACACAUGCAAGUCGUGGGGCGGCAUGGUGUAGCAAUACACUGAUGGCGACCGGCGCACGGGUGAGUAACGCGUAUGCAACCUACCCAGUACAGGGGGAUAGCCCGGAGAAAUUCGGAUUAAUACCCCAUAAUGAUAUAGAGAGGCAUCUUUUUAUAUUUAAAGCUACGGCGGUACUGGAUGGGCAUGCGUAAGAUUAGCUAGUUGGUAGGGUAACGGCCUACCAAGGCUCCGAUCUUUAGGGGUCCUGAGAGGGUGAUCCCCCACACUGGUACUGAGACACGGACCAGACUCCUACGGGAGGCAGCAGUGAGGAAUAUUGGUCAAUGGGCGCAAGCCUGAACCAGCCAUCCCGCGUGAAGGAAGAAGGCGCUAUGCGUUGUAAACUUCUUUUCCGGAGGAAUAAAAUUUUGUACGAGUACAGGACUGAAGGUACUCCGGGAAUAAGCAUCGGCUAACUCCGUGCCAGCAGCCGCAGUAACAC